GAUGAACGCUGGCGGCGUGCCUAAUACAUGCAAGUCGAGCGAACGGACGAGGAGCUUGCUCCUCUGACGUUAGCGGCGGACGGGUGAGUAACACGUGGAUAACCUACCUAUAAGACUGGGAUAACUUCGGGAAACCGGAGCUAAUACCGGAUAAUAUAUUGAACCGCAUGGUUCAAUAGUGAAAGACGGUUUUGCUGUCACUUAUAGAUGGAUCCGCGCCGCAUUAGCUAGUUGGUAAGGUAACGGCUUACCAAGGCAACGAUGCGUAGCCGACCUGAGAGGGUGAUCGGCCACACUGGAACUGAGACAUGGUCCAGACUCCUACGGGAGGCAGCAGUAGGGAAUCUUCCGCAAUGGGCGAAAGCCUGACGGAGCAACGCCGCGUGAGUGAUGAAGGUCUUCGGAUCGUAAAACUCUGUUAUUAGGGAAGAACAAAUGUGUAAGUAACUAUGCACGUCUUGACGGUACCUAAUCAGAAGGCCACGGCUAACUACG
rnacentral:rRNA from 1 species